rnacentral:rRNA from 1 species
GACGAACGCUGGCGGCGUGCUUAACACAUGCAAGUCGAACGGAAAGGCCCUGCUUUUGUGGGGUGCUCGAGUGGCGAACGGGUGAGUAACACGUGAGUAACCUGCCCUUGACUUUGUGAUAACUUCAGGAAACUGGGGCUAAUACCGGAUAUGAUCUCCUGCUGCAUGGUGGGGGUUGGAAAGUUUCGGCUGUUGUGGAUGGACUCGCUGCUUAUCAGCUUGUUGGUGGGGUAGUGGCUUACCAAGGCUUUGACGGGUAGCCCGCCUGAGAGGGUGACCGGCCACAUUGGGACUGAGGUACGGCACCGACUGCUAAGGGAGGGAGCAGUGGGGAAUACUGAAGAAUGGGCGGAAGCCUGAUGAAGAAACGCCGCGUGCGGGAUGACGGCCUUCGGGUUGUAAACAGCUUUCGACUGUGACGAAGAGUGAGUGACGGUACUGGGUAAAGAAGCACCGGCUAACUACGUG